rnacentral:rRNA from 1 species
UGGUGAAGCGAUUUGUCUGGUUAAUUCCGAUAACGAACGAGACUCUGGCCUAUUAAAUAGUUCGCCGAUUCCGAUCUGUCGGCGUUAACCUCUUAGAGGGACAAGUGGCUUUUAGCCACGCGAGAUUGAGCAAUAACA